rnacentral:rRNA from 1 species
UCUUAUGAAGUUAGCGGCGGACGGGUGAGUAACACGUGGGUAACCUGCCCAUAAGACUGGGAUAACUCCGGGAAACCGGGGCUAAUACCGGAUAACAUUUUGAACCGCAUGGUUCGAAAUUGAAAGGCGGCUUCGGCUGUCACUUAUGGAUGGACCCGCGUCGCAUUAGCUAGUUGGUGAGGUAACGGCUCACCAAGGCAACGAUGCGUAGCCCACCUGAGAGGGUGAUCGGCCACACUGGGACUGAGACACGGCCCAGACUCCUACGGGAGGCAGCAGUAGGGAAUCUUCCGCAAUGGACGAAAGUCUGACGGAGCAACGCCGCGUGAGUGAUGAAGGCUUUCGGGUCGUAAAACUCUGUUGUUAGGGAAGAACAAGUGCUAGUUGAAUAAGCUGGCACCUUGACGGUACCUAACCAGAAAGCCACGGCUAACUACGUGCCAGCAGCCGCGGUAAUACGUAGGUGGCAAGCGUUAUCCGGAAUUAUUGGGCGUAAAGCGCGCGCAGGUGGUUUCUUAAGUCUGAUGUGAAAGCCCACGGCUCAACCGUG